GGGGGCUAUUGGGAGGAUCAUGAGGACGGUUCCCCCAUGCUGUUCUCGUGAUAGUGAGGGAGGGCUCGCGAGAACUGAUGGUUUAUAAAUGGCGGUUUCCCCUGUGGCUCUUUCUCCUGCUGCCAUGAAAGACGUACCUUGCUUCCCGUUUGCAUUCUGCCACAAUUAUUUUGGCCCUUACAAACAGUGCUGUUGUGAACAUUGUGCCUGCCUGUCUUCUGGCUGGACAUAGUGGGGGCUACUCGAAGUGAGAUGUGUGGACCAAUGGAACCUUGGAACUUGUGUGAAAUACAGAAUCACAACCCACUACUAAGUCAGAAUUUGAAUUUUAUCAAGAUACCCAGGUUUUGUACCAUAGAAAAAAGGCUUUCCCUACUCAAAGGUCGUAAGU